GCUGUGAUGGCCGAGUGGUUAAGGCGUUGGACUCGAAAUCCAAUGGGAUAUUCCCGCGCAGGUUCAAACCCUGCUCGCAGCG
rnacentral:tRNA from 1 species